UCCUUCCUUCCUUCCUUCCUUCCUUCCUUCCUUCCUAGGCUCCUGGACCCUGAGAUCCAGCCCAAGCCCGGAGCUGAGAUGGAGGGUGUGAUGCUCAACCGGCUGAGUCACCCAGGUGCCCCUCUGUGUUGUUUCUUAAAUUGCAUGUGAAUCUACAAUUUUCUGCAAAGAAAAAGAUCAAAAGAAGAAGGUCCAAGGCCAAGAAAGCUCUUUCUGGUUUAUGCUACCUCAUUUGAGAACCCACCUACCAUUGUGACCUUCUCAAGGACCCUCCCCAAACUAUGCUUUGAUUUCUGGUGUCCUCAGAUGACCCUAUAAAGCAGAAGAUCCCUGUGCUUCCCUGCCGUGAGGGAUGCUCCCCGCAGGGGAAGUGUGCAUGUGCGUAGCUUGAUGAACUGUGACCCAGGGAGGCUGGAGGCACUA
rnacentral:lncRNA from 1 species